AUCCGCAUCGGGACCUCCCCACCCGUCAAACAAAAAAAAAGUUCCUCCCCGAUCCUUCUUUCGCUGGGCGCAACAAUCAUGGCGACAGAUCCGCGGCUGCUCCACCUCAGGUUCCCCCCAUCCUUCUUUCUCUCGGGCGACAGAUCCGUUCAUGGCGGCGGAUCCGCAGCGUCCACGGCCGCUCCACCUCGGGCAGUGCGGAUCACGGCCGGCGACCCGAUGGAGGCGUAGCGGCUACCGGCGCAGUCUGACACUCUGCCAUGCGCUCCCUCCAUGUCUCCUCCUGCGCCUCCGGUGGCCAGACGCCUCUUCCACUCCGGCCGAGAUGUUUGAAGAAGGGGCUAGAGACAAACUGUCCAAUUUGUUGUGACUUCCUAUUCACAUCAAGCAAGGAAGUUAGAGCUGUUCUUUCUGGUCACUCCAUGCAUUCAACUUGCUUGCAGGCAUACACUUGCAGUCACUACACUUGUACUAUCUACGGCAAAUCCUUCGGGGAUAUGGCGUUGUAUUGUAUGAUAAUUCUCCACGGACAAUACAAUUCUGAUUCCUGACGCCUGAGUGAGAUUUUACUUGUGGUCUUGUUAUUUAAACUCAUUCCUAAGAUGCAACAUGAAGACUGUUUUGGUAUUUGGGGAAUACACGAUUGGACAUUUUGCUCGAGUCAUAUAAUCAUAUUGAGUGACUGAAUGUAAUGCACAUAAACUUCAGUGGUAUAUUGAAAAUGGUUUCGAAACAGAUAAAUGUUGGAUCAGCUGACCCUGUCAUUAUCUCAUUCCACCCCAACACCACGGUCAAACGGUCUGCAGCCACACCUGGUCACCAUCGAGUUUCAGGUAACCACGACAAGUCAACGAUCUUCCAUUGCCUUCCGCUCAAUUUUGUUUGGAUGGUGCGUGAUUCCUUUCAUCGAGUCUUCAAUAAACCAAAGAGUUACCAGAGUAGUUAAUUAGGAGCCUAAUCAUGUGUAAACUAUUGUGCAUCAAGUCUUCAAUAAAAACAGAGCAGUUUCUACAUGCAAGACGUAUCAAAUAGUAUGCUAAUACUUGAAUACCAUGUGACUAGAUCGAUUUCCAAGCAGACUCGAUCGAAUCUAAUCGUAUAUGCUGUGUUUGUUGCGUCGAGUAGUGACGGAGAGCAAGCGAGGCGAGAGAGCGAGUCACAUCGCGCUUUUACCUGUUAUUAUAUAACGCACAUUGAUUAGUUCGGUUGUAUCUGGGCAUGCUUUUAGACUUAAAGUCGAUCUUGAUUUCCUCUUGCCACCUGUAUGAGGGCAUCCAUUCGAAACACAUAUCUAAUCUUCUACGUGUGGGAUCCUUUUUCUGUUCUUAAUUUGUUGUUGGGGCGAGCUUGUUACUCUCUACAUGGAUUUCAAGCUGGAUGAGAGCUACACGCCGAGCAAGAUCUCCAUCUGGACUGGCGACGGCUUCCACAAUCUCAAGGCCCAGAAAUUAGGAUUCAAGAUUUGCCUCAUUGAAAACCGGUCAGGAGUUCAUGUUCACAAUCAAGCAGUGACCCCUUCUACUACUUGAGGGAUUCAGCAAAGACCAUCAACGGUACAGUCAAAGUUGAACAUGAAAACAAGGCGCUCUGCCAGUGUGCGUGCAUGAUCCAAUAGCAUGUGUUUAAUAGUAGCCACUAUGAUGUGAAAUACUAGCAGCUUCCUCCAUUUAUGCCAGUAUUUGAUAUACUUACCAAAGUUUAAGGGCGCCAAUCUUAAGAAGACAUCCCGGUUUGUGCGAAAAUUUCUUACGCAUAUUAGACAAAAGAUGUAUCUAAUUUUCCUUAGGUUGCAUUGCAACACAUCAGUUUCUGCUCUUGGUUCUUUUACCAUAAAAUUUGUAAGGACCCUUAUGUUUGAUUUAUUGUAUAAAUCAUUUGAGACAUGCCCUGCAUGCAUGAUUACUCACUAUAUUUAUGUUCAUCUGAUAUUAUGUUCAUGAAUCAUUUACGAGUUGAUGUUAAAAAUGCA